rnacentral:rRNA from 1 species
GACGAACGCUGGCGGCGUGCUUAACACAUGCAAGUGGAGCGACGAACCGGGGCUUGCCCCGGGGCAGAGCCGCGAACGGGUGAGUAACACGUGGGUAACCUGCCUCAAUGAUUGGGACAACCCGAGGAAACUCGGGCUAAUACCAAAUGUGUCCACUCCUUGUAAGGGGAGUGGGGAAAGGAAGCUUCGGCCUCCGCAUUGAGAUGGGCCCGCGGCCCAUUAGCUUGUUGGUGAGGUAACGGCUCACCAAGGCUUCGAUGGGUAGCUGGUCUGAGAGGACGAUCAGCCACACUGGGACUGAGACACGGCCCAGACUCCUACGGGAGGCAGCAGUGGGGAAUCUUGCACAAUGCGCGAAAGCGUGAUGCAGCAACGCCGCGUGGGGGAAGACGGCCUUCGGGUUGUAAACCCCUUUCAGUUGGGACGAAGCUUCGUCGGUGAAUAGCCGGUUGGAGUGACGGUACCUUCAGAAGAAGCCCCGGCUAACUACGUGCCAGCCGC